UUUGUUAUUUGCUUGGUCCGCGAAAAAUUUGAUUUCCUAUCCGAAGUUUGGAGUGUUGUGAAUCGUUUUCGGGCAAGAACAAUUAAGAAGAUAGUGUUGGCCACAACGCGAAAAGAAUAAAGGAAGCGGAUUACAAAAACCACCCGAAAAAUGAGGAAAAACCAGUCGACGGCGCACCUUUUGAUCGGCGACUGUUUUGCUGAUAUUGCAGCAAGAAUGUGGAAUUCAAUCACCAGUAAACGAUCCCAGCUUGAGUUAUUUGGAAUUUUUUUUAAUAGACCCGGGAAAAGCUUUUCGAAGAGAGUGGGAAAUAUUCCUGAUGCACCGGGAAGUGAAUGCAACGGCGCUAAUUGUACGGUCAUCCGACCGAACAAUAUUUCUGCAUUGCAGGAACCGGAAAACCGAUCUGUCCAAUUCACGCUGUUCUGGCGGUUUUGAAGUUGGCCCGAAUCCAGUUGAUGUAGGUAGCGCAGAUUGCAUUCGUCAUUGCUGAGAAAGCGUCAGCAGGUUUGAAACGGCUUGAUUCGGAAAAAAUCCGGUUUUGUGAAGUUUUGGCAACUUUAUGAGAGUUUGAAUUAUCUGGAUCUCAUGAAUCCUAAUGCCCAUAUCAAGAUUUUUGAUGCGUAAAUCGACAUGAGGAAUCUUUCACGGUUGGAUCGUAAGAUUGAAUAAAUGCAUCUGAAAAUUAACGCUCACCAAAUGAAAAAAUUACUACAACAAAAAUCUCAACUAUUGCUAUUGUUCGAUAAACCAGCUAAAUGAACCUGUAGCCACAUACAACAGAAAAAAUGAAGCUGUAUUAGGAGGAGAUUCAGUCUGCAGAUUACUAGUGGGAAUUGGCUUAAUUUCAAAGCAAGUCCUACUUCUAAUUAGCUGAUUGAUGGUGAUUAGGUUGGGUGAUGUAAGCUUGUACCAACACUGGAGAUCGCUAUUGAACUCGGAAUUUCAUUUCGGAAAAGGUUGAACGAUCCGUAGACAUGAAAGCAAUCUGUCGUCACAUCAUGACAUUUAGUGUCGAUAAGUGAAUUCCGAGAAAAACUUUUUGAUGAAUUCUAAAUUGGCACAGCAUUUAAAAUCCUUGAUAAACUGUUUCCUAACAUAAGCUAUGGCCACGAAAAAGACCUUUAUCAAAUUUUUGUAAUGCAUGGUCUACCAAGAACCGGUCAAACUUUGUGCGAAAAAAGGUUGGCUUAUAAAUGAAAACAGAUUAUGCUAUUCAAAAGAUAGAUUAUAACACUUAAAACUUUUACUUACCACGAAAUGUAGGAAUUUUUAAAUAACGUUAAAAUUACGAAAUUUUAGAAGUUUUUGUUGAUUGCUGGACUAUCGUACAAUAGAAGAUUGGAAUUAGGAAAUUUUAAAGUGAAAUUUCGAUCGAUGAAUCAAUACAUUCAAUCGAAAACGCCUUAAGGUCGGCAACUAUUUUCUUUUUACCUGGUAGGAUAAUUUACAGAAUGUUAAAAUUGAGGACCACAGAAUUAAUGGGCAAUAUUUGCCAAAAUAGUCGAUUUUAAGUUAAGUUUCUUCUAAUAUCAAUCUACAUCUGGUGCCAAUCUCACUUUUUUCUAAAUUAUUUCUAAGAUUUUUCGAUUGAAUUAAAACUACUCGAAUUCAACAAAUAUAGAUAUGAAAAUUAGAGCGCCGUGACUACUUCAAAGCGCAUAUCCUCGAAGCUAUCGUUCGCGCACUUAACCCCCUCUGAUUUUGAGAAUCUUAAUUGAUCUUUUUUUUUUUAUCAAGAUUAUCCGAAUAAUUUUUCAUCACAAAUAUCCUAUGUUUAUGGAAUUUCCAAGAAUUUUGGUUUCUUUAUUUUUCAUAUCGUAUGAAAGUUUAAUCAACAACUUAGAAAAGGCGUGAAUACAGAGAC